rnacentral:rRNA from 1 species
CCUACGGGAGGCAGCAGUCGAGAAUCAUUCACAAUGGGGGAAACCCUGAUGGUGCGACGCCGCGUGGGGGAAUGAAGGUCUUCGGAUUGUAAACCCCUGUCAUGUGGGAGCAAAUUAAAAAGAUAGUACCACAAGAGGAAGAGACGGCUAACUCUGUGCAAGCAGCCGCGGUAAUACAGAGGUCUCAAGCGUUGUUCGGAAUCACUGGGCGUAAAGCGUGCGGAGGCUGUUUCGUAAGUCGUGUGUGAAAGGCGCGGGCUCAACCCGCGGACGGCACAUGAUACUGCGAGACUAGAGUAAGGGAGGGGGAACCGGAAUUCUCGGUGUAGCAGUGAAAUGCGUAGAUAUCGAGAGGAACACUCGUGGCGAAGGCGGGUUCCUGGACAUUAACUGACGCUGAGGCACGAAGGCCAGGGGAGCGAAAGGGAUUAGAUACCCUUGUAGUC